UUGAACGCUGGCGGCAUGCCUUACCCAUGCCAGUCGAACGGCAGCACGGGUGCUUGCCCCUGGUGGCGAGUGGCGAACGGGUGAGUAAUACAUCGGAACAUGUCCUGUAGUGGGGGAUAGCCCGGCGAAAGCCGGAUUAAUACCGCAUACGAUCUACGGAUGAAAGCGGGGGACCUUCGGGCCUCGCGCUAUAGGGUUGGCCGAUGGCUGAUUAGCUAGUUGGUGGGGUAAAGGCCUACCAAGGCGACGAUCAGUAGCUGGUCUGAGAGGACGACCAGCCACACUGGGACUGAGACACGGCCCAGACUCCUACGGGAGGCAGCAGUGGGGAAUUUUGGACAAUGGGCGAAAGCCUGAUCCAGCAAUGCCGCGUGUGUGAAGAAGGCCUUCGGGUUGUAAAGCACUUUUGUCCGGAAAGAAAUCCUUGGCCCUAAUACGGUCGGGGGAUGACGGUACCGGAAGAAUAAGCACCGGCUAACUACG
rnacentral:rRNA from 1 species